CUUCAGCUGUGGGGCCACAGAAGGCAGGACUCAGCAUGGCCUCCAGCAUGGCCUGGUCCCUUCUCCUCCUCGCCCUCUUCGCUCACUGCACAGGAUCCUGGGCCCAGUCGGUGCUGACUCAGCCGUCCUCAGCGUCUGGGAGCCCAGGACAGAGGGUCACCAUCUCCUGCACUGGAAGCAGCUCCAACAUCGGGGGUAACAAUGUGGACUGGUUCCAACAGGUCCCAGGAAGAACCCCUAAAACCAUCAUCUCUGAUAACAGCAAACGACCCUCCGGGGUCCCCGACCGAUUCUCUGGCUCCAAGUCUGGCAGCUCAGCCACCCUGACCAUCUCUGGGCUCCAGGCUGAGGACGAGGCCGAUUAUUACUGCUCAGCAUGGGACGGCAGUCUGAAAGCUCCCACAGUGCUGCAGGCCUGUGGGGAAGUGAGACAAAAACCUGCUGUCCCUGCAGUGGGUUCCCCGGUGCAGUCCCCUCCCCUCUGCUAA